rnacentral:rRNA from 1 species
AGCGUAUAUUAAAGUUGUUGCAGUUAAAAAGCUCGUAGUUGAAUUUCGGGGUUAGUAGGUUGGUCAUGCCUCUGGUAUGUACUGGUCUCACUGAUUCCUCCUUCCUGAUGAGCCGUAAUGCCAUUAAUUUGGUGUUGCGGGGAAUUUGGACUGUUACUUUGAAAAAAUUAGAGUGUUUAAAGCAAGCUAACCCUUGAAUACAUUAGCAUGGAAUAAUGAAAUAGGACGUUCGAUCCUAUUUUGUUGGUUUCUAGGAUUGACGUAAUGAUUAAUAGGGAUAGUUGGGGGCAUUAGUAUUCAAUUGUCAGAGGUGAAAUUCUUGGAUUUAUUGAAGACUAACUACUGCGAAAGCAUUCGCCAAGGAUGUUUUCAUUAAUCAAGAACGAAAGUUAGGGGAUCGAAGACGAUCAGAUACCGUCGUAGUCUUAACCAUAAAC